rnacentral:rRNA from 1 species
AUUGAACGCUAGCGGGAUGCUUUACACAUGCAAGUCGAACGAGUGGCGGACGGGUGAGUAAUAUAUCGGCACGUGCCCAGUCGCGGGGGAUAACUACUCGAAAGAGUCGCUAAUCCCCCAUACUCUUUUAGCAACCGAUAUCUGAUUGACUAGUUGGCGGGGUAAAGGCUCAUCAAGGCAACGAGCCGUAGCCGGUUUGAGAGGACGACCGGCCACACUGGGACUGAGACACGGCCCAGACCCCUACGGGAGGAAGCAGUGGGGAAUUUUGGAAAAUGGGGGAAACCCUGAUGCAGCCAUCCCGCGUGUAUGAGAAGGCCUUCGGGUUGUAAAGUACUUUUGGCAGAGAAGCGGUAUCUGCAGAAUAAGCACCGGCUAACUACGUGCCAGCAGCCGCGGUAAUUC